GGGGGGGGGGGGGGGGGGGCGGGGGGGGGGGGGGGCGGGGGGGGGGGCGCGGGGUUUGUGGGGUGCGCGGGGGGCGAGCGGGGGGGUAGCGCGGGGGUAACCUGCCCGUGACUGUGGGGUAACUUCAGGAGACUGGGGCUGAUACCGGAUAGGGGCUCCUGCUGCAUGGUGGGGGUGGGAAAGUUUCGGCGGUUGGGGAUGGACUCGCGGCUUAUCCGCUUGUAGGUGGGGUAGUGGCUUACCAAGGCUUUGACGGGUAGCCGGCCUGAGAGGGUGACCGGCCACAUUGGGACUGAGAUACGGCCCAGACUCCUACGGGAGGCAGCAGUGGGGAAUAUUGCACAAUGGGCGGAAGCCUGAUGCAGCAACGCCGCGUGCGGGAUGACGGCCUUCGGGUUGUAAACCGCUUUCGCCUGUGACGAAGCGUGAGUGACGGUAAUGGGUAAAGAAGCACCGGCUAACUACGUG
rnacentral:rRNA from 1 species